rnacentral:lncRNA from 1 species
ACUUAUUAUAAGCCAUGUAAAGCUUGAAGUAAUUCAGUAAUAGUCAGAAAAUCAUGGAACUUUUUUAAAUAACAUUUAAAAGAUAAAAAAGAAGGGGAAAAAAUCAUGUUUUUUGUUUUGUCAUCGAUACACCAGGCUUUGAUUGCCCAUAUAAUGAUAUAAUAUUAUAUCUUAUUAUAAAUUACACCGGCCAAUGGUUCUUGAUUGCCAGAAAGGCAAUAAAAAAUGUUAGAACAGUGUUGUCUGUGGUAUAUUUUCACAGCAAAACACCAAAAGACAUGCUGCAAAUAUUGCCGCAAAUUUUCAGAAAAGCCACAGAAAAUCAGUCAUUGUAGGCUGCAAAAAUCAGAAGAAUCCCGCAGAAACCCUGGAGGGACUGAAAACUGGUUUAAUCUGUUUCUAAAUGCAAAUGAUAGUAGAUCCCCACAAAGAUUGUAAAAAUUAAAACUAAGCUUAGUUUUUUCCAAGCUUUCUCUGUACUUUUGUCAUUUAAAGGUGUUCGUGCAGAAAUUGCCUUUAAAACCCUUCCUGCCAUCCUGCCAUCUGCACCAUACCGCACAAAUGGAAAAAUGGUGUGCCCAACAUACACAGAAAUGAAGCAGUCCUUCAUUGACAUUCAACCUGUUGGCACUAAUAUAGUGCAGUACUUGAACCACGAGGCAAGCCAGAAUCCACAGGUCCUGGUGCUUGGUGACAAGGAAGACUCUUCCCAAGUUUUUAUUAUUUUCAACGGGGAGGCGAUGGAACAGGAGACACUACUACAAGCAGUCGAUCUGUGUUUCAAACUUUUCUUUGUAUAUGACAUCAACUACCCAAAGCCCUCUGCUCCCAUUUGGGAGUUUUUGGAGCACACAGUCUUUAAUAUUCCAGGUGGAGUUCCUUCUGCACACUGCCUCCUCCUAAAAAACUUUGUAUUUAGUAAUCAGUAAAAAAAAAAAUUAUUUUACUGAUCAUCAGUAGGUCCCAGCAGCUAGCAGAUUAUUAUUAUUAUUAUUACUUGUGUUUAUGUAUUAUUUUUUGUUUUAUUGUUAUGUUUAUAUGUUAUGUUUUGUGACUGUAUGUGCACAUUCCAGGUGGAGUUCCUUCUGCACACUGCCUCCUCCUAAAAAACUUUAGUAUUUAGUAAUCAGUAAAAAAAAAAAAUUAAUUUUAACUGAUCAUCAGUAGGCCCAGCAGCUAGCAGAUUAUUAUUAUUAUUAUUACUUGUGUUUAUGAUUAUUUUUGUUUUAUUGUUAUGUUUAUAUGUUAUGUUUUUGUGAACUGUAUGUGCACAUUUGUGUGUUUUGAUAUGAAUAUGAAUUGACACACAUUUGUACAUUUUGAAAAUGUCAGUUUUUUACACAUUCGUGUACAUUUAAAUAAAAUAUUUCAAAAUAUAUUUGUUAUAUAU